CAGACAAAUGAGGAUGGUAGAUUUUGCUUAGAAAAGGAAAGUUUUAUUCUUUCUUUGUUUGAGAGAGUGAAUCAUGGUGCUUUCCUGAUUUCAAACAUGUAAACCCAGUCCACUGCUGAAUAAACACCAACAGCAUCUACCUCUUUCCAACUUAAUAAAUGACUCAGUAAUGUGCAGAGCUAUAAAUCUUGAUCUCUACAUUCUUACUGUGCAUUUAGUCUCUCAUGUAAGACCCAAUUCUUUGACCUGUUGCUGCUUUUAUGCAUCUGAGUCCUUCACAGGCACAGGGUAAACAAGGAACAUUUAACCAGUGAGUUCAGUAGUUAGAGAUGUGACCACAAGAUGGUAGUGCACCUCUAUGAGAAUAUGUGGAGGGUUCAUUUUAGUGGAUUCUGAAUGAACAGGCUUAUGGCAGAAGCUGAGUCUUUUUCUUAUUGGCUGAGUAGACAAUGUGAGAAACCACUAUGAUGUUAGAGAAAAGAAAGGACAAUCUGAUAAUAGAAGUAGCUCUGCUGGCUGAAGAUUGCAAGUGUUUAAUUGAUCCUAAUUGGGAGGAGCAAUGAAGACGUCGGUUCAAGUUUUAUUCAUGUUCUUGUGGCUGCAGCUGGACUGGUUGAGCCAAGGAGAGAAUGUGGAACAGCAUCCUUCUACCCUGAGUGUCCAGGAGGGAAACAGUUGUGUUAUCAGCUGUACUUAUUCAGACAGUGCCUCAAACUACUUCCCUUGGUAUAAGCAAGAACCUGGAAAAGGCCUCCAGCUCAUUAUAGACAUUCGUUCAAAUGUGGACAAAAAGGAAGAGAAAAGACUCACUGUUUUAUUGAAUAAGACGGCCAAACAUCUCUCCCUGCACAUCGCAGCCACCCAGCCUGGAGACACAGCUGUCUACUUCUGUGCAGCGAGUACACAUUGCUUCCCAGGCACCUGCAACCUGUACUCAAACCUGUGACUGGGGCAGCCCCCUUUUCCUUUGGCACAGACUUUCAAUUAUAGCAUUUGUCAUUUCAUUUGUCUGCAAGUGGAAACUAGUGUAUUAGACAUUAAAAGCAUAUAAUAAGAAAGUUAGGCUCAAGAUGACCCAGGAAGGGUUCUAAUAUUUUGUUGGAUGACUGUUGCUUAAUGGAUUUUUGAAGGGAGUUACUGAUGUUUUACUUUGAAAUUCAGGACUUGAAGAUGACAUUUCCUUUGCUAUUCAGACUCUUCUCAUACAAAUAAAUUCUUAGUAGCAAUAUCACGUUCCUAUUAUGGAUGAACUUUUAACUCCUGUCUUUCAAAAAUUGCAUAUGUUAUUUUUUGCUCAUUAUAAAACAUUACAUGUUAAAUAUAGAAAAUUUAUAAAUUAUAAGAGUGUGAAAUUGAUAAUAUGCACCCAGGUAAUUAAUUGCUAAUAUUUGGCAUACUCUCUUCAUAAAUUGUAGUGUAAUUAGGAUUCUGAUCUUUCCCACUUUAUAUCAUAUCUUGAAUUGACCAUUCCCAAUUUCAUCACCUUCUCCUCUAAUUCCUGCUUUUUAAUAGCUCGGUGAGAGAUUUUCACAAGUCACAAUUAUAUUUUUAUAUUCUUUCUCUCUAUAUUUUUGUGAUAAAAUUUGUACUUUGACAAUAUUCUAGUUCAGCAAAUGUGAUGUGGGUUUUCUUUUAGAGCCCAGUUCUAUAUAUGUUAUUUGUAUGAUUGAGGGAAAUUAAAAUAGGAAAUGAUUUAUUCAAGAAAGUGAGUUGAGGAUUAGACUCACACAACUAUUCUACUUUUUCAAAAUUUUGUUAGUAUAUGUUCACAUUAACUCUCACAGAAUUGAGAAGGGAAAGUUGUAUCUUUGAGUCAUUGCUACAUAACACACACUUGAUAAUCUGCUAUAUAUUCAAAAUUUUAAUUUAAAUUUUAAUUUAAGCUUUGUGAUUCAGUUAAAUUUAUAAGUUGGCUUGUGAAGAAUAAACUCCUGAAAGUGUACAUUUGGUUA